AACGGAACCACAAAAUUUUCAGCAAAUUGAACGUCUAAAGCCUAUAAAGAAAGAAGCAGAUAAGGACGCUUAACAGCUGAUUAAAAGGGAGGGGAAACUAUUUUUCAUAAAUAAGGAGAGAAUGCGAAAAUCACGUCGGAAGGCCGGGUUGAAGGAGGAAGUAUUAUACCGAAACUGGGCAAAAAAUCGUAAUUCGUUGGUUAGUGAUAUUGCUUUCUCCUAGCUAAAUAUGUAUAGUACAGCGUAGUGUAGUGUAGUGUAAGGUAGUUUUGGGAUCAGAGCAGCGAGAAGUAGUGAGAGUUGGUGGUGAAAAAAAUGUAAACAGAAACAGGAAACGAGUGGAUGAGCCGAAACUACGAGUUUUUGAAGGAGAUGGUUUUAAUGAAUGUCCCUUUUUCUUCUUCGCUGCUACAAAAGAAAAAAAAAUGGGGAAAAGACAAGAAAUAUGAAUAAGAAUGGAAGUAGCUUACUUUUCCGAUGGAAGGGAAAUGUACCAAAGUAAUGACGAAAAGGUCACACACUGGAGACUAACUAGAAGCGGUAAGUGCACGUUAGUAUGUCGAUCUGUCCAUAUAUAUAAAGUAAAUAAUCAAAGGAAAGAUGUAAAAUUGGAAAUAAAUGAGAAAGAAAAGAUAUGGAAAUACGAUCCCUAAAAUAACAUGCAAAAAACAGAAACGGUUCAGAUGAAUUCAGGCACUUGGCAUGGUGAGUGGUGGAAAGAAAGACAGUGUGAUGUUGAUGAAUGAAGGAAUAACCAGUAAACAAAUGAGAGAUCCCGUUAGCGACGGAGACAAAAAAGCGGAAGGAAAACGAAGAGAUGAAAAGAGGUGGUGUGAAUGGUUUAGCCUGGAUUUUGAUUUAAAGGAGAUGGUAAAAAAAAAAAAAUUGUGGAAUUAAUGUUAUUGUUGUUUUAGUAAAAGUAGUGGUGGG